CAGGAAUCCUGUAGGUGUUGAGGAUGGUGAUCUCAGGGACUGAAAAUUGAGCUGGGAUGCUGAUCUCCUGCAGUUUGUUCAGGUUGAGUGUAAAAGCUGGAAUGACAAGAUUCAUUUCUCCUUCGCUGUUGACAAGGGCAUCAACAGUGAGGCUGAAAGGCAGAGCCAUGGUGCGAACGGUGCUGUCAAAUCGCAGGGGCUCGGAAUUUAUCCGUGUUUCACAGUUUGACUUGGAGGAAAGUCCAGCAAACUCAAGUUCACAGUUGUGACUUAGCUGGGCAUCCAUUAAAUUCCCAGAUGUGCCGUAUUUCAUCGUACCAGCCAUAUCCUCAUAGGGCUGCACUGAAUGCUGUUAAUUCCACUUGUGGUAAGACCAUUUCUGCCAACCAUCACAGAAGCUUUGUGCAUUCCACGACUACCUGUGUCUAAGGAACAGACAGAGUGGUUGGGAAGUUCAGUUCUUCUGACUUUUUGCCUCCAAGUGGAAGAGGAAGGGAGAUUGCCAUUUUUUCCUUGUUGAACUGGUAUCGGAACAGGCUGUCACUGUUGAGGUGGCAGUGACAGAGGCAUCCAUUUUCAGAGAAGGAAUGAUCAUCUGAAGUUGCAGCAUAGCAUCCUUCAUCAUGUCAAGUCUACACAAAACAAGGACAUGCAGCAAUCUAAAGAUGUGUGUAUAGAACUACACACCUUGUCCGUCCAACGAGAGUCAACUGUGGGAUGUUCUUGUUACUGACAUCAAUGGUGAUACCACGCAUCUUCUUCCCUUUGUUAUCACUGUCAGUUACAGCCAGCUUGAUUCCUGCUUCCACAUCAUAGUCAGGUAUGAUGACCUCAGAGGUGAGUAUGUUCUUGUUGCGGUUGUAUUUUAGAGCUGCAGAGACUUCUGAUGAAUCGUCACCUAGUAACAGCAGAAAUUCAACUUGUCAGUGUUUACCUCUGGGCAAUGGCAACUGGUGGCUUCAAGAUACAUUUAAAAAGACCACUGAUUAGGGGCUGGCAGUCAGCUGAGUCAGUCCGGUCAUCCACCAGGGAUGGAACUACUUUGGUUUGACCAAAGGAGACAGACAGUAGCUGGUGGCUGAAUUUCAAAAAGAGAGAGGAGAGUCAAAAAGUGUUCAUGUCAAGAAACUAUAGAUCUGACCUGGGCAGGCAGAAUCCUGAAGUAAAAAUGGAAAAGUCGAAGAAAGGCAGUGGCUUCAGGGGCAUGAGAGCGACGCACAUCAUCCAUGAGCUUCCUCACAUUGUCUGCAACAUCUUGCAGAAGAUCCUCUGGGACCUGGAAAAGAUAACACAAUUAGAAUUUUCUUUGCUUGGUGAGACAGUUGGAAGUUGUAAGAACAACCGUUAUUGGCCUGUUACUCACCUACUGAUCUGUGGGUCCUGUGAGGAGUGGAUGUUGUUCAGGUGGGAGACCACAAAGCUCUUGAGCUGCUCGUCCUCCAUGUUCGCCAACCUGUCUACGAUGUCUUUAACCAGGGCAUGGUCUGGGUUCUUCAUCAGAAUCAGGAUAAUCAGACUCGGGAUCAGGUGAUGCUCCUAAGCCACCAUCUAAGAGUGUCAGCAUGAACUCCGACACCUCUGUGACCACUGGAGUAACCUCUCCUUUAUGGAACCUAUGAACCACAAACACAGAAGAUAUAUUGAGAUACUCUUUCCCUGUAGUGGUCACCUGGAGCAGUUACCCAGUUAACCCAACUGGAAUAUAGAGCGUCGGGGUUGGCCUGUAGACUCAGCCCGUAGACUAGAGCGUCCACCUCUAUAGACACCCCAUCAAUGGUCCGGACAGCCUGGAGGACGGCACUGGUGCACUCCGGGGUGCCGCACUGGAGCAAAG